rnacentral:lncRNA from 1 species
AAAUCCUGUUAGAGGACUGAAUUACAGCUAUGAUACCAUUUUCUCUGUAAUUCCUUUGGGAUGCAUAUUUUGCCCAUGUACACAUUCCUCCCCUGAAUUAGACCAAACUAUUUUGUAAUUGUUCUAAUUUGCUUUGAACUUUGCUUUCUGACAGAAUUUUAAGACCUUUUUUCUUUUUUUUUCCUUUUUAUAGUCUUCCUUCAGAAUGGAUGUGCAGUCAUAAACUUUGAUCCUGCUGCAACAGUGUUUCACUUUUUCUUCCUUCAGAUUAAUAAAAUCAGGGAAAGAACACAAGUUUCAGGUCCUUUCUUCCAGUGAAUCCAAUCCCACCAGUGUCAUAUGACUUAAGUCAGUGUACUCUUCAUGCCAUGAUUGAACUCUCCCUGGCAGGGUCCACCCUUUACUAAAGAUGGACAGGUACUUUUAAGAGAAGAAGAAACAAGCCUUCAUUGCAGAGACAUGUACUGUGGAUUUUGGUAGUGUUAUGAUCUAUCAGUUCCCCAAAUGGGACAUACCUCUUACAUCAUUUAACACUGGAAAUGCUAUGGUUUUAUUGAGAGUGAGAAAGGGAAAAUCCCAGCUUCGAAAGUCAUCAUUACUCAAACAUAUCGCUUGGGCACAUUAAAAAAAUAACUCGUUCAGUUCAAACUUUAAACCAAAAAGAAAUGGGAAAAGAAAGGGAAUUCCCUAAGAAGACAGAAAAGGAGAACCUGACAUUUACUCAGGAUUCUACAACAGAGUGAAGACCAAAACAAAGAAGGCAAAAAUCUACACUGAAAUAGACAGAUUUUGUGUUAUUUUACAGUCACUCAGAGGCCCUCAGAUCACAAUACUUUAAAACAGUAACUACCAAGUUUCAUGUUGCCUGGGAAAUAUCACUGUAAUGUAUUAAAGAGCUUUACAGAGGAAAGGAAGCAGGAGUCUCCAAUGGGCUUCAGCUCUGCCCCACUGAUCACCCCCACAGAACUUCCUCUGACAAGGCCAGGACAAGGAAAGAGAAAAGCUAAAGUCUAAUUUGAGAGAGUGGUCUUUGGAAAGGUAAUCUCCUUGCUGGAGUUCAAAGUACCCUCAGAGAGACUUAGCUGCCGUUCCCACUGGUGUUGCCAGUGGACAAGAUCUGGAUAAACACUGGAGCUGUUCUUCCUGCACACAUUCAGGACAGAGUCAUCCCCCCAGCACUGACGUCAACAGACUGUCCCAGGCACCUGGCACAUCCUGGGAUCAUGCUCCAGCCGGCUGUUAACCCAGCAGAUAUGUUAAAUGGAGUGAACUUGGCAGUUUAAGGUCAGUCCCAGAGAUAACAUUAUCAGAAGAGCCAUUUGUUUCCAGUGGGAGCAAACACAGGCAUCUAUCAGGCUCCUUCUUUCCACACCUCUUGCCAGAAACUGAUAGAAGACAAAAAUAAAUAAAAAGAAAGAAAGAAAAAAAUAUAUACC